AGAGAAAAGAGCAAAGCUUGCAGAGGCUGCAGAGAGAAGACAGAAGGAGGCUGCAUCUCGGGGCAUUUUGGAUGUUCAGUCUGUGGAAAAAAAGAGAAAGAGAAAGGAAGAAAUAGAAAGACAAAUGGCUACAUCUGGGCCCCCACCAGAAGGUGGACUUAGAUGGACAGUGUCAUAAAGCAUAACAUAACAUGAGUGGAAGAGUCUACUGCCAGUAACUAACAUCUGCAAUCAAAUGGACUUCCUCAAUUCAAUUUCUGCUCUUUGAAUAAAUGAAGAUUCAGACUUUGUAAUUUUAGUGCCCUUAAGUGCAGUGCUUUUUCAAUACCGAAAUAUUCAAAAUGCUUUUGAUUUUCAAACCAGACCUUUCAUUAAAUACUUAUUUUCCUACAUUUGCUCUUCUGCAGGUAUGGAGUGAUUUGCCAUUUUUCGUAGUUAAAACAUGGACCUAAAGAGUGACUAUAUGUAUAUAUGCAGUGCAUGUAAAAAUUCUGCAUACAUCUCAAACAUUAAAGUUUGCAGUUGUAUUUUCCCUCUUUUAUGAAAUGAUCUAGCUAUUUAUAGUUUGCUGCUUAACCUUACAUCUCUUUUUAUUUCAUUAUAUAUGAAGACUUGCUUAAACUUAUGGACUUAGUGCCUUUAAACUGAUCAUCAGGGAAAAUCUUGAAAAAUCAUUUGAAGGGCUUAUGUGAAGGAACGCUAUAAAUUUUUAUAACUUACUAAGUAGUGAAUAUUUGUAGGAAAUGUUGAAUUUCUCCUAAUUUAUUUUUUAUUUCUGUAGCUUAUAAAAUUAACAUGCUGUGUUUUACAUUGCAAUAAAGUGGCUUUUUUUGCUUGCUGAAUUUAAAAUUACAUAUAAGUGGUACCAUCAGAGGGCAGUGAUGUACUGUUGUACAACGUCACAUUCAGCUCCAUAAAGAUCUUUGUGGUAACUGAGUUAAGCUCAGAUUCUGGAUGGGUUAUACCGAGUGGUAAUGUAUUUGUCCAGAUUUCAUAGGCGUUUUUAUUCUUUUGUAUUUAUUAAAGAAUGGUCUUAAGAUUUAUACAUAUGUGAAAUUGCCAAGGCAAAUAGGAAUGUGUGAAAGAGAAACAUGUAGGUACUGUAUAUAAAAAGGUCUACUUGAAACAUA